rnacentral:misc_RNA from 1 species
GUCAGUGUAGCGUUACAUUCUGAUAUUACCUAUUGCGUAGGCAGUAUGAAUUAAACAAAUUGAAAAGCUUAAUCAACAGGAAUUAGAUCAGAACAUACAA